CAAAAAAGAAUUCAAUUGGCUACAGCAAAGGGCCACGGCGCAGAUUUGCCGUAGCUAAUGGUCCUCCUUUAACGACUGCAAUUACUGCCGUCGCGAACUCAAAAAUAAGAUGCGACGGCUUUGCAUCACCGUCGUUUCUAUUCUUAUCAAUUGCGACUGCAUAUACAUGCCGUCGCAUGUACUUGUGUCAAUUGCGACAGAGCUAACAAGCCGUCGCUUGUUUUAGGCAAUAAGAUUCGAGUAUGAGGGGGAAAAAAAGAAAAGAAAGAAAAACGAUAAAAGCCAGAUCCAGAUCUGGUUUCCUCUCUCGUUCUCUUCCUCUCGUCACAGAGCAAACACGCAGAUGGGUGAUGGCUACGUCGACGUCGAUCGCCGUGCUUAGUGGCCUGUGGUUGAGGCGUACCGCCGGUCUCUUUGAUGAAGGAGGUGAGCUGCUGCUUGAAAUCAUCCAAUAAGAGGGUUUUGAAACUAGCGAAGGAAGCAGCCAUGGAAUCGCGUAUGGAAGCUUGGAUCUCCUCUAGUUUAGCACUAGUUUCCCCACGAUGGACUUGCAGCUCAUAUUCCAGGUGAGAGAGUUCACCAGAAACGUGAGGUUCAUCGGAAGCACGCGGAUUUCUGGGUUGAAGAUAUUGGAAUUUGUCUCGAGCUUUUGGUCAACUGGUCUUGCUCUUGGACUCUUGGUUCGAUUCAAAAAUCUUCAAGCUUGGUCUUCGGAUACUCUAGAAUCAAUUUCCCAAGCUUGCAACUUUGUGCUUUUUAGCACCAUUUUGGCUUCUCAUUAGUCACAGACACUUUGCAACUGGAUUGGGCUUUGCAGAAAACAGAAGCAGACGAACAAGAUUCCACAAGCUUCAGGGCUUCAUCCGUCUCAGUAUAUUCCAGUGAGAAUAUGAAGGCAGGCUAAACAAUAUUCCAACAAUCUGAGCUGCUUCUUAUUCAAAAGGAAUACAAAUUGUAUUCUUCUCAUCAGUUGUCAGGAUUUUCAAUUUAUCUAAAUUCAGGUCAGUAAUUCAAACUUGAAUGUCCCUGUUUGUGAGAGCUUAUUCUGUAAAUUCUAUAUAUUUGUGCUGCCUUCACACACUGUUAAUUUUUAGGUAAUACAAUUACCUCUUUCCUGAUUAAAUAUAAAAAUAUAGUUGGAUUUACAAUUUUAAGCUUCAAGCGUCUUUUUAUUUUGUUUCUUUCCUGUGGGACUUGGGUAUUGGAUGAGUGAAGAUAUUCGCAACAGCCUCAGGUAGUACAGCGGUAUGGUCUUCAAAAUUUGACUUCAAUGACAUGAAAACUCAAGAUUUAUGUUUGUACUGAUGAUGGAUACUUUGAUAGUCUCUUAAUCUUCUGUUUGAACUCUCACAUGCUGAAUUGAUGGAGAUAAUAAUGUCCAAAGAUUGAGUCGAAGGUUAUAUUGAUCUGGGAUUUAUAAAUUUGUUCUUGAUAAAGUGGAUAUCCAGGAAUUAGGUUUGUUGUGAUUCCUACAGCUUCUAAUUAUGAAAAAAAAAAUCUUCUCUCUCAUCUGUUAAACAAAUCUUUAGGAUAACUAUAUGCAAGUCUGAGAAAGUGUUUUAACAUUUUGAUUAAACUUUCUGAUUAUGUUGAGUAUUUAUCUGUGUCGCAAAGAUACAUAUUCAAUAUACAAAUGAUUUUAUACAAACCUAUAGCUGCAGAUACCUCUGAUCAAGUUUCUAGGUGGGAAUAGUGAUUUUAUACAAUGCCUAUUGUAUAUGGACUGAUGUAUUAUCCCUUGCCCAUAGUAUGAAGGCAUUCCUGGAAAUACAGUAGCUUCAACAUAGCUUAGUCUGCUGGAGUAUCAUUAAAAUGAUAUAUAA